GAUGUUGUGGCUCAGUGGUAGAGUGCUUAUCUCACAUAUGUGAGGCACUGGGUUUGAUCCUCAGCAGCACA
rnacentral:tRNA from 1 species